GGGGAGCCCUAGCACAGGUGCUGCAUGGCCGUCGUCAGCUCGUGCCGUGAGGUGUUGGGUUAAGUCCCGCAACGAGCGCAACCCCCGCCGUUAGUUGCCAGCGGUUCGGCCGGGCACUCUAACGGGGACUGCCCGCGAAAGCGGGAGGAAGGAGGGGACGACGUCUGGUCAGCAUGGCCCUUACGGCCUGGGCGACACACGUGCUACAAUGCCCACUACAAAGCGAUGCCACCCGGCAACGGGGAGCUAAUCGCAAAAAGGUGGGCCCAGUUCGGAUUGGGGUCUGCAACCCGACCCCAUGAAGCCGGAAUCGCUAGUAAUCGCGGAUCAGCCAUGCCGCGGUGAAUACGUUCCCGGGCCUU
rnacentral:rRNA from 1 species